rnacentral:tRNA from 1 species
GCCUCUUUAGCUCAGUCGGCAGAGCGUAGGUCUCAUAUCCAAUAUAAACCUGAGU